rnacentral:rRNA from 1 species
CCUACGGGAGGCAGCAGUAGGGAAUCUUCCACAAUGGGCGAAAGCCUGAUGGAGCAACGCCGCGUGGGUGAAGAAGGUCUUCGGAUCGUAAAACCCUGUUGUUAGAGAAGAAAGUGCGUGAGAGUAACUGUUCACGUUUCGACGGUAUCUAACCAGAAAGCCACGGCUAACUACGUGCCAGCAGCCGCGGUAAUACGUAGGUGGCAAGCGUUAUCCGGAUUUAUUGGGCGUAAAGGGAACGCAGGCGGUCUUUUAAGUCUGAUGUGAAAGCCUUCGGCUUAACCGGCGUAGUGCAUUGGAAACUGGGAGACUUGAGUGCAGGAGAGGAGAGUGGAAGUCCAUGUGUAGCGGUGAAAUGCGUAGAUAUAAGGAAGAACACCAGUGGCGAAAGCGGCUUUCUGGUCUGUAACUGACGCUGAGGUUCGAAAGCGUGGGUAGCAAACAGGAUUAGAUACCCUUGUAGUC